GGGGAUGUAGCUCACCUGGUAGAGCAACAGGUUCGCAAUCUGUAGGCAGGCGGUUCGAGUCCGCUCAUCUCCA
rnacentral:tRNA from 1 species